rnacentral:rRNA from 1 species
AGGCGUUGAGCUAACCUGUACUAAUUGCCCGUGAGGCUUAACCAUACAAGUACCCAAGGGGUUUUGUA